GCCCUCCAGACCCCUUCCUCGCCAGAUCUAAACCCUGGCCUGCAUGGCGACAAAAGGAGGAGAAGUAAAACUGAAACAGACUUCAGGGGCUAAAAAGAAAAAGAAAAGAUUUGUUUACUGCAUUA
rnacentral:snoRNA from 1 species